GCUCGUCAGGACCUUGGCUCUAGACUGCUUACUGCUACAGGUGUGCGAGGCACAGUAACAGUCUACAGUCAUGGCCACUGACGUCUG
rfam:Ophiophagus hannah scaffold3668.1, whole genome shotgun sequence.